GAUGAACGCCGACAGAAUGCUUAACACAUGCAAGUCAACUUGAAUUUGGGUUUUUAACUUAGGUUUGGGUGGCGGACGGGUGAGUAACGCGUAAAGAACUUGCCUCACAGCUAGGGACAACAUUUGGAAACGAAUGCUAAUACCUAAUAUUAUGAUAAUAGGGCAUCCUAUAAUUAUGAAAGCUAUAAGCGCUGUGAGAGAGCUUUGCGUCCCAUUAGCUAGUUGGAGAGGUAACGGCUCACCAAGGCGAUGAUGGGUAGCCGGCCUGAGAGGGUGAUCGGCCACAAGGGGACUGAGACACGGCCCUUACUCCUACGGGAGGCAGCAGUGGGGAAUAUUGGACAAUGGACCGAGAGUCUGAUCCAGCAAUUCUGUGUGCACGAUGAAGUUUUUCGGAAUGUAAAGUGCUUUCAGUUGGGAAGAAACAAAUGACGGUACCAACAGAAGAAGUGACGGCUAAAUACGUG
rnacentral:rRNA from 1 species